AAAAUAAAUACAGCUGGACUGUAUACUGACCAAUAGGCUAAAAUGAGAUAACUUAUACUAACUAAGUGGAACUGAAUCAAAAUUUGAAGGGCAGAAUAAUGACAAUUCUCGUCUAGCUAAUUGGCACCUAACAUGAAUACAUUUUGUUUUAAAUUUACUAAAAUUACAACAAAACCAUCAAAGGAGAUGAAAAAGAUUCCUACAUCAUGCUCAUUACUACACAAUUCAAUGUUUCAAUGGGUAAUAAAGAAGAACUUUCAUGUUUAUCAAUCAUGUGUCGCCUUCUUCAGAGAAAAUAAAAUUGAUUGGCCCAAAGCAAUUAUAAUUAAGAUUUCAUAUUCUAAUUGACUUUUUCACCCAUGAUCCAAACUUACUCAUUUGUCCAACACUACAGAAUAGUAAUUGAAAUAAAAUAUCAAGUUCAAUAGCAUGAAGAAAUUGACAAAUGAAGUUAUCAAAAUACAUUCUCAUAUAUUUGUAUUUCUUAAAUUAAAGCACAAUCAAUUUUUUUAUUCUUCUAGUGGAAUACAAAAAAUUGAAAUAAAAGUGAAUAGAGAAAAGAGAAGAGGCUUACUUGAGAUAGCCGUAAGGAGAGGAUGAGAAUCUAGAGAGGGAGAAGUACUGAACAAAGAUAAAACAUAAAAAUCUGAAAAUCAAGUUCAAAAAUUAAAAGGUGAGAAAGGAAAGAUCUCCAAAUUUCUACAAAAAAAUCCCACCACCACAAUUUUAGUAUUUUGUCAGAAAUAACCAACUUGAAAUGGGAUAAUGAGAAAGUGACUUACAUCAAACAAUG
rnacentral:lncRNA from 1 species